rnacentral:rRNA from 1 species
UGGAAGUAAAAAGUCGUAACAAGGUCUCCGUUGGUGAACCAGCGGAGGGAUCAUUACCGAGUUAUUCAACUCAUCAACCCUGUGAACAUACCUAAACGUUGCUUCGGCGGGAAUAGACGGCCCCGUGAAACGGGCCGCCCCCGCCAGAGGACCCUUAACUCUGUUUCUAUAAUGUUUCUUCUGAGUAAAACAAGCAAAUAAAUUAAAACUUUCAACAACGGAUCUCUUGGCUCUGGCAUCGAUGAAGAACGCAGCGAAAUGCGAUAAGUAAUGUGAAUUGCAGAAUUCAGUGAAUCAUCGAAUCUUUGAACGCACAUUGCGCCCGCCAGUAUUCUGGCGGGCAUGCCUGUUCGAGCGUCAUUACAACCCUCAGGCCCCCGGGCCUGGCGUUGGGGAUCGGCGGAGCCCCCCGUGGGCACACGCCGUCCCCCAAAUACAGUGGCGGUCCCGCCGCAGCUUCCAUCGCGUAGUAGCUAACACCUCGCGACUGGAGAGCGGCGCGGCCACGCCGUAAAACACCCAACUCUUCUGAAGUUGACCUCGAAUCAG